UACGAAGGGGGCUAGCGUUGCUCGGAAUCACUGGGCGUAAAGCGCACGUAGGCGGCUUUCUAAGUCAGGGGUGAAAUCCUGGAGCUCAACUCCAGAACUGCCUUUGAUACUGGAAAGCUUGAGUUCGGGAGAGGUGAGUGGAACUGCGAGUGUAGAGGUGAAAUUCGUAGAUAUUCACAAGAACACCAGUGGCGAAGGCGGCUCACUGGCCCGAUACUGACGCUGAGGUGCGAAAGCGUGGGGAGCAAACAGG
rnacentral:rRNA from 1 species